CGAGAUGCCUAAGUGACUGGAGUUCAGACGUGUGCUCUUCCGAUCUCCUCAGAGACUAAACGCCAAACGCUCGCGAACGCGAGUGAAGAUAUAGUCCGAUCUGCAUGGCGACAUGCAGGGUGAAGUGCAAUGCUCACCUUGGUUUCAAAGGGAGAAAACCUAAUGAAAUCAAUAACAUGCGAUAAGCGAAAUUCCUUGUCGGGUAAGUUCCGACCUGCACGAAUGGCGUAACGCUGGCCCCACUGUCUCGACCCGAGACUCAGUGAACUUGAAAUCGCUGUGAAGAUGCGGCGUAGCUGCGGAAAGACGGAAAGACCCCGUGAACCUUUACUACAGCUUUACACUGAACUUUGACCUUGUUUGUGUAGGAUAGGUGGGACCCUUUGAAGUGGGGGCGCUAGCUCUCAUGGAGGGAACGUUGAAAUACCACCCUGAUAAGUUCGGAGUUCUAACCUUGGCCCGUAAUCCGGGUCGGGAACAAUGUAUGGUGGGUAGUUUGACUGGGGCGGUCUCCUCCCAAAGAGUAACGGAGGAGUGCAAAGGUACCCUCAGCGCGGUCGGUCAUCGCGCAUAGAGUGCAAUGGCAUAAGGGUGCUUGACUGCGAGACUGACAAGUCGAGCAGGUGCGAAAGCAGGUCAUAGUGAUCCGGUGGUUCUGUAUGGAAGGGCCAUCGCUCAACGGAUAAAAGGUACUCCGGGGAUAACAGGCUUAUUCCUCCCAAGAGUCCACAUCGACGGAGGAGUUUGGCACCUCGAUGUCGGCUCAUCACAUCCUGGGGCUGUAGCAGGUCCCAAGGGUAUGGCUGUUCGCCAUUUAAAGUGGUACGCGAGCUGGGUUCAGAACGUCGUGAGACAGUUCGGUCCCUAUCUUCCGUAGCCGUUGGAGAAUUGAGGGUGAGCUGCUCCUAGUACGAGAGGACCGGAGUGGACGUAUCUCUGGUGUUCCGGUUGUCACGCCAGUGGCACUGCCGGGUAGCUAUAUACGGACGGGAUAACCGCUGAAAGCAUCUAAGCGGGAAGCCCCCCCCAAGAUUAGAUCUCCCUAGACCUUUAAGGUCUCUAAAGGGCCGUCGAAGACUACGACGUUGAUAGGCUGGGUGUGUACGCGCAGUAAUGCGUUUAGCUAACCAGUACUAAUUGCCCGUGAGGCUUGACCAU
rnacentral:rRNA from 1 species